AUUCCAGCUCCAAUAGCGUAUAUUUAAGUUGUUGCAGUUAAAAAGCUCGUAGUUGGAUUUUGGUUAAGAGGGCGCGGUCGGCCGUUUGGUCUGUACUGCGUUGUCUUGACUUCCUGAUGAGGACAUGCUCUUGGUUAACGCUGAGACAUGGAGUCAUCGUGGUUACUUUGAAAAAAUUAGAGUGUUCAAAGCGGGCUUACGCUUGAAUAUAUUAGCAUGGAAUAACACUAUAGGACUCCUGUCCUAUCUCGUUGGUCUCGGGAUGGGAGUAAUGAUUAAGAGGAACAGUUGGGGGCAUUCGUAUUUCAUUGUCAGAGGUGAAAUUCUUGGAUUUAUGAAAGACGAACUUCUGCGAAAGCAUUUGCCAAGGAUGUUUUCAUCA
rnacentral:rRNA from 1 species